UACGUAGGGGGCAAGCGUUAUCCGGAUUUACUGGGUGUAAAGGGAGCGUAGACGGCAAUACAAGUCGGAAGUGAAAUACCCGGGCUCAACCUGGGAACUGCUUUGGAAACUGUAUAGCUAGAGUGUCGGAGAGGCAGGCGGAAUUCCUAGUGUAGCGGUGAAAUGCGUAGAUAUUAGGAGGAACACCAGUGGCGAAGGCGGCCUGCUGGACGAUGACUGACGUUGAGGCUCGAAAGCGUGGGGAGCAAACAGG
rnacentral:rRNA from 1 species